rnacentral:misc_RNA from 1 species
CAACCCUCAAGUCCCUCCUUUCGGGCGGACUUGGUGUUGGGGAUCGGCCCCGCAUGUCGGCGGUCGGCCCCGAAAUAUAGUGGCGGUCAUGCCGCGGCUUCCUCUGCGUAGUAAAUAACCUCGCACCGGGACGCGGCGCGGCCACGCCGUAAAGAAAACGAACUUUCACAA